GUUGUAUAAAUUAAUGUAUGGAGUCAGGAGCAAUAUGCUCUAGAAAUACAUGGUUAUGAUGCUACCUUCAACGUGCUGCUGCUGGCCUGAUCUUCCCUUGGUGAUGAACAACAAGAUACAUGGGAGAAUGGCUCUGCAAGCCAACAUUGUUGACAAGGACAGGUAAAUCAGAUUCACUAUGUUGCAGCUUCAAUCCAAAAAUAUUAUAUUGCACACACAAUUCACAUAUGGUAAAUCAGAUUCCCUUGCCGCCGCCGAACUCCACCGCUGCCACAGGUUUUGCCCCGGAGGUGUUCGACUGAAUGCCACUCAACCAAUACGGUUUCUAUUUAUUCCUAACCAUUGCCUCAUAUAUUUUAUUGUUCAUGGGUCUAUCUAUCUCCUUACAAUGGAGGGAUACAUCGUUGGGCUAGGACUAACAGCUUGCAGCUUGUUCACCAUUCAGCUAGAAGAUCAAGGAGGUUGUUCCUACGAAUACAAAUCAUGCUCAGACGCUAUUAAAUCAGCCACUGAUUCACAUAUUCACAAAGCUUAUUUUACAUGGAGAUGAUGGUGUGUGAAUUGAGAAUCCUUAAUUGUCAUCGGUUCAGCGCUAUAAACUCCCCUAUAAAACUUACCAUGAGGCAUCUAUAUCUUGAUUCCAUAUCUCUUUUUGCUUUUGUGCACAGGUGCAGUAAUGUCAUAUGACAAUGAAGAUUUGAUUCGGCAAUGGAGGCAAAUGCAGUUCUUUUCCCUUCCCGUACCUAAUUCAUAUGCUUUCUAUUUAAUCCUUGCAAUUGCCUCAGAAGUUGAAUGUAUCUAAUCUUGUUUUCUUCCUAGGCUCCUCGGUUAUCUUAUUGGUUUGUUGUUUGCUUGUUAGGAGUGAGUUGACGACAAAUUGAACUGAAGAAGAAUUUGUGGGCGAAAAGUGCUACUGAACUAUAUUCUUCUUGUGAGCAUUCAUUUAUCCAAUUCUCAAGAAGUCAACCAGGCUCCUGUUUUUUAAUUUAUUUCUACAUAUCUAUGUAUUUAUGAAUAAUUGUUCCAAUUCUUAUUUGGUUACCACUGCUUCAAUCUUUUUCAAUUUUAAAAAUGAUUUGACUAAGGUAAGGGCACCGAGAUUUUGGAAAACAAUAUCAUCGAGAAUGACAUGAAAUCUGGUUUGUUCUUACACAUGAUUUGGGCAUGAUUAUCAAUUUUCGGCUGUACUGAUAUUUGGUUUUGAAUUUAAUUUGUGUCACUACAAUAGGUAUUUGUUAAAUGCAGCUAUGGUAAUGUACAGUUCUAAUUUGAAGUUGGAAGAUUAUAUCACUCCCAAUUAUUGAAUGUUUUUCAAA